rnacentral:rRNA from 1 species
CCUACGGGAGGCAGCAGUGGGGAAUAUUGCACAAUGGGGGAAACCCUGAUGCAGCAACGCCGCGUGAGUGAAGAAGUAUUUCGGUAUGUAAAGCUCUAUCAGCAGGGAAGAAGAAAGACGGUACCUGACUAAGAAGCCCCGGCUAACUACGUGCCAGCAGCCGCGGGAAUACGUAUGGGGCAAGCGUUAUCCGGAUUAACGGGGUGUAAAGGGAGCGUAGACGGCUGUGCAAGUCUGAAGUGAAAGCCCGUGGCUCAACCGCGGAACUGCUUUGGAAACUGUAUAGCGUGAGUACUGGAGAGGCAGGCGGAAUUCCGAGUGUAGCGGUGAAAUGCGUAGAUAUUAGGAGGAACACCAGUGGCGAAGGCGGCCUGCUGGACAGAAACUGACGUUGAGGCUCGAAAGCGUGGGGAGCAAACAGGAUUAGAUACCCCGGUAGUC